CACGUACUCCCUUCGUCCGAAAAUACUUGUCAUCAAAAUGGACAAAAAAAUGUAUCUAGAACUAAUAUACAUCUAGAUACAUCAUUUUUUAUUCAUUUUGAUGACAAGUAUUUCCGAACGGAGGAAGUAGAUC
rnacentral:pre_miRNA from 1 species